rnacentral:tRNA from 1 species
GGCCUAGUGGCGAAGUGGUAACGCGACUGUCUGCAAAACAGUUAUGCGCCGGUUCAAUCCCGGCCUAGGCCUCCA